AUUUUUGUACAUUUAGUCCAGCUCACUCACCUGAUGGUGGAAGGUGUGCCUCUUUAAUAACCUGUAUCGUUAAUUAUAACUCCAUGGGGACGAAUAUCACGAGAACUGAAGAGAAGAAACUGAAGUACACUAUUUUAUAUCAACUUAAAUAAUUUUGUACACACAUCUGAUACAUUUUGGUGUGUAAACCUUUCGUUUAUUUGAUAAAUACUCAUCGCUAGCGAGAAAUUUCAACCUAUCUGAAACCGAGUACAUAAUUAGUAAGGAAAAUGAGAUUGUUGUCAUUCUCAAGCAUUCUGCUCCUUAGCUUCGCAAUUAUGUUAACAGAUAUUUCGCCAACGGCAGGUUGGAUAAGGGCGCGAACUUAUCAAUGUGAAGGGCAUUGCGCGUUUGGUUGGGGAUAUGCAGCGUCGUUGGGGUGUGCCCAUUGUUGUCAAGCUAAUGGCAUCAUUGCGCCGGGGAAUUGGCAAGCAUAUGGCAGUUGUCGAUGGGGGAGAUGCAUGUGUCGAAUACUUUAAGAAAUAUUCAGCUCAUAUUUUUUUCUCAGGUGAAAUUUAAUGAAGAAUGGAACGUCAGAUGAUUUCAAAAAUAUCAAAUCUGCGAUAAAAUUGAUAAAGCAAAAUUUUAAGAAAUUUUAAAUAUUUUUCCUGUACAUAGCUAUAUCUAAUAAACUUAUGUAUAUCAUAAAUACCUGUAUCUACAUAAAUAAGAACUCUAUGUAAAUAUUGAGGCAGGCAACUUUCGUAAGUCCGAGAUGUUUGUCAGUAUCGUCGAAAGUUUACGCGGAAUUAUGUACGAGGGCUGAUGUGAAUUGCCACAUUUAUUUAUUACCAAACGAAUAUGAGUAAAAUACAUAUGUACAAAUUUGAUUUGGACAAAUCGAUUGAUAAUAAAAAUAUUGAAUAUUUUCAAUAAA